rnacentral:rRNA from 1 species
GCCUGCCCAGUGAUUAUAUUCAACGGCCGCGGUAUCCUAACCGUGCAAAGGUAGCACAAUCACUUGUUCUUUAAAUAAGGACUAGUAUGAACGGCGCCAUGAGGAGCACCUUGUCUCUCAUAAUAAGUCUAUGAAACUGAUCUUCCAGUACAAACGCUGGAAUAAACUCACAAGACGAGAAGACCCUGUGGAGCUUCAAACUUAAGCCACUACAUGGCCACACAGUUUUAAGUUGGGGCGACUUUGGAGCAAACUAAAACCUCCAAAAUUACAACUACAGGCCAACACGCCAAUAUAAACCACAUGACCCAAUAUAAUUGAGUAAUGAACCAAGUUACCCCAGGGAUAACAGCGCAAUCUUCUUCUAGAGUCCCUAUCGACAAGAAGGUUUACGACCUCGAUGUUGGAUCAGGAUACCCAAAUAGUGCAGCCGCUAUUAAAGGUUCGUUUGUUCAACGAUUAAUAAUCCUACGCGAUCUGAGUUCAGACCGG